rnacentral:rRNA from 1 species
UACGUAGGGGGCUAGCGUUGUCCGGAUUUAUUGGGCGUAAAGAGCGUGUAGGCGGCCAGGUAGGUCUGCUGUGAAAACUCGAGGCUCAACCUCGAGACGUCGGCGGAAACCAUCUGGCUAGAGUCCGGAAGAGGAGAGUGGAAUUCCUGGUGUAGCGGUGAAAUGCGCAGAUAUCAGGAAGAACACCCGUGGCGAAGGCGGCUCUCUGGGACGGUACUGACGCUGAGGGACGAAAGCUAGGGGAGCGAAUGGG